AAAGGAAUAGACGGGGGCCCGCACAAGCAGCGGAGCAUGUGGUUUAAUUCGAAGCAACGCGAAGAACCUUACCAGGGCUUGACAUCGCCUGAUGCUGGUAGAAAUAUCGGUAUCCCCUUUUGGGGCAGGCAGACAGGUGGUGCAUGGUUGUCGUCAGCUCGUGUCGUGAGAUGUUGGGUUAAGUCCCGCAACGAGCGCAACCCCUGUCUUUAGUUGCUAACAGGUCAAGCUGAGCACUCUAAAGAGACUGCCGGAGACAAUUCGGAGGAAGGUGGGGACGACGUCAAAUCAUCAUGCCCCUUAUGCCCUGGGCUACACACGUGCUACAAUGGCCUUUAACAGCGGGAAGCUAAGGGGUAACCCGGAGCCAAUCCCAUAAAAAAGGUCCCAGUUCGGAUUGUGGGCUGCAACUCGCCCACAUGAAGCCGGAGUUGCUAGUAAUCGCGAAUCAGCAUGUCGCGGUGAAUACGUUCCCGGGCCUUGUACACACCGCCCGU
rnacentral:rRNA from 1 species